rnacentral:rRNA from 1 species
CAAAGAUUAAGCCAUGCAUGUCUAAGUCCAAGCUGUGUGUUUCACACGGCGAGACCGCGGACGGCUCAUUAAAUCAGUCGUGGUCCAAAUGGGCCAGCUUAUCUGUCAUACUUGGAUAACUGUGGUAAUUCCAGAGCUAAUACAUGCAACUCAUACCCUGAUGGUGCGUGCGUUCUUCGGAUCCUCGUGCCUGACGGGUGCUUUUAUUAGACCAAACAUCACUGGUGGCUCACGCCGCUAGACUCAUGUGAUAUGGUGACUCUGGAUAACCUGUUGACAAGCGCACGUACUCCUUAACUGGAGACGGCGCUGCCACUUUCGAGUGUCUGCCUUAUCAGCUAUCAACCGCUCGUUAUGUGCGACCGAUGGCUUUGACGGGUAACGGGGAAUCAGGGUUCGAUUCCGGAGAGGCAGCCUGAGAAACGGCUACCACGUCCAAGGAAGGCAGCAGGCA